rnacentral:rRNA from 1 species
AUUGAACGCUGGCGGCAUGCUUUACACAUGCAAGUCGAACGGUAACAGGCCUUCGGGUGCUGACGAGUGGCGAACGGGUGAGUAAUGCAUCGGAACGUGCCCAAUCGUGGGGGAUAACGUAGCGAAAGUUACGCUAAUACCGCAUAAGCCCUGAGGGGGAAAGUGGGGGACCGCAAGGCCUCACGCGAAUGGAGCGGCCGAUGUCAGAUUAGCUAGUUGGUGGGGUAAAGGCUCACCAAGGCGACGAUCUGUAGCGGGUCUGAGAGGACGAUCAGUCACACUGGAACUGAGACACGGUCCAGACUCCUACGGGAGGCAGCAGUGAGGAAUUUUGGACAAUGGGGGAAACCCUGAUCCAGCGACGCCGCGUGUGGGAUGAAUGGGUUAUGCCCUGUAAACCACUGUCAGCAGAGAAGAAAAGGUUCCUUUGGAACCCGGGACUGUAUCUGCAGAGGAAGGACCGGCUAACUACGUG